GUGCUCACUUCGGUAGCACGUGUACUAAACCUUGAACAAUACAGAGAAGAUUAGCAUGGCCCCAUGCACAAAGAUGACACACAAAUUAGUGAAGCAUUUCUAAUUUUU
ensembl:snRNA U6 spliceosomal RNA